GAGGUCGCUCAGCACAGCGCUUCCAAAGUUAUUUACCUGGUAGCGAGUGUCAGACUUCCUUCAUUUUUCUGGCUGAAUCCUAUUCCCAUGGGUGGAUGGACCGCAUUUUGUCCUCCAUUCAUCUGCUGGGGGCAACUGUGCUGUUUCCACCUUUCAGCCAUUGUGAGUAACGCUGGUCUCUGGAGUGACAGGGAUGGCCCUGCCCCACUGACCCAGGCGUUCACCCCAGAGAAGCGUGCAGGCAGGUACAAGAGGCCGAGUGCGGUCAACUUGAAGGGACAGGAAGCCUGCAGGCAGUGACCACUCUCUAGGCUGUGCUCAGAGGAGAGGCCAAGGGGACACAGGCACCAGGGCCGUGGGACACACCUGGGCUACCCCAGCUCCUAUCAGGACUUGAUGUGGCGUAUGGAGCACUGACCGUCCAUGUGGCAGGACUCAGAGGACGCGGGCAACACAGUGCCCAGGACAGAGAGGCCACAGAGGAGCAAACGGGCAGGCCGAGGACAGUCAAGACCAAGGGAAACGGCUAAUUAAUUAGGCUCAGCCUCUUGAAAGGCACUUAAAAUACUAACGACUUGCUAAAAAAGGGCAGGACUUGAAAGCAAAGCCAAGGUCCAAAGUGCCCACCAGCGUGAGGGGUCUGCUGCCUCCCUGCGGGGAAGCCCUGGCAGAGCCCCUUGCUUUGCUGCUCACAGAGUCCAGGACAUGAGAGCCGAGCCCAUGCACCAGUGACUCACGCCCCGGCACAGAUGAGCCCAGAGCCCGGAACAGAGGCCGUAGCAAGACCCCGGGAGCCCAGCCUCCCCUACCCCUCCAGCCCCGCUCUGGGCCCCAGGAGGCUGACCUCCAUGGAUGUCCCAGCAAUCUGUCUCUGGCCUCUGGGCACUGGAAAUACAGCGGUGGACACAGUGGUGGACCUCCCGGUAUGUCCUCUGUUCGACUGAACAGUCGGGUUGCGGGGCCUCCAGGAGCUCUGUGAGCCCGUGCUCAGGUGCACACAACAGAAGUACUCCGCUGACGCCCACCCCUUUCACUCAGCUCUCGGUUCAGUCAUCGCCAAGCAACUGAGAGCCUUUGUGAAGAGGCUUCCUGCCCUCUUCAUCUUCCACAGACACGCUCUUCUUCCUUAAGCCCAGGCAUACACAGACACAGUGAAUGCACACACAAAGACACACACCAGUGUGCACACUGCUCUGGAAUCCACAGGUUCUAUAAAUAUCUAGAAAUGAUAUCU
rnacentral:lncRNA from 10 species